rnacentral:rRNA from 1 species
GACGAACGCUGGCGGCGUGCUUAACACAUGCAAGUCGAACGGAAAGGCCCUGCUUUUGUGGGGUGCUCGAGUGGCGAACGGGUGAGUAACACGUGAGUAACCUGCCCUUGACUUUGGGAUAACUUCAGGAAACUGGGGCUAAUACCGGAUAGGAGCUCCUGCUGCAUGGUGGGGGUUGGAAAGUUUCGGCGGUUGGGGAUGGACUCGCGGCUUAUCAGCUUGUUGGUGGGGUAGUGGCUUACAAAGGCUUUGACGGGUAGCCGGCCUGAGCGGGUGACCGGCCACAUUGGGACUGAGAUACGGCCCAGACUCCUACGGGAGGCAGCAGUGGGGAAUAUUGCACAAUGGGCGGAAGCCUGAUGCAGCAACGCCGCGUGCGGGAUGACGGCCUUCGGGUUGUAAACCGCUUUCGCCUGUGACGAAGCGUGAGUGACGGUAAUGGGUAAAGAAGCACCGGCUAACUACGUG